rnacentral:rRNA from 1 species
CCAAUAGCGUAUAUUAAAGUUGUUGCAGUUAAAAAGCUCGUAGUUGAAUUUCGAGAUCAAUAUGUCGGUCGUGCUUAGGUACGUACUGGCAUUAUUGAUUUCUCCUUUCUGAUGAACCAUGAUGCCAUUAAUUUGGUGUUAUGGGGAAUCAGGACUGUUACCUUGAAAAAAUUAGAGUGUUUAAAGCAGGCUCACGCUUGAAUACAUUAGCAUGGAAUAAUGAAAUAGGACGUUUGAUUCUAUUUUGUUGGUUUCUAGGAUCGACGUAAUGAUUAAUAGGGAUAGUUGUGGGCAUUAGUAUUCAAUUGUCAGAGGUGAAAUUCUUGGAUGUAUUGAAGACUAACUACUGCGAAAGCAUUUGCCAAGGAUGUUUUCAUUAAUCAAGAACGAAAGUUAGGGGAUCGAAGACGAUCAGAUACCGUCGUAGUCUUAACCAUAAACUAUGCCGACUAGGGAUCGGAUGAUGUUAAUUUUUUAAUGACUCAUUCGGCGCCUUACG